AAACAGAGCUCCAACCGGAGACGGAAGGAGUGCUUUUAUUAGAUCAAAACCAAUCGGUGGCGAGUUCGCUCGUCAUCGUUCAACUUGGUGACUCUGAAUAACUUUACGCUGAUCGCACGGUCUCGCACCGGCGACGCAUCUUUCAAAUGUCUGCCUUAUCAACUGUCGAUGGUAGGUUCUGCGCCUACCAUGGUUGUAACGGGUAACGGGGAAUCAGGGUUCGAUUCCGGAGAGGGAGCCUGAGAAACGGCUACCACAUCCAAGGAAGGCAGCAGGCGCGCAAAUUACCCACUCCCGGCACGGGGAGGUAGUGACGAAAAAUAACGAUACGGG
rnacentral:rRNA from 1 species